rnacentral:rRNA from 1 species
AUUGAACGCUGGCGGCAUGGCUAAGACAUACAAGUCGAGCGCGAAAGUCCCUUCGGGGGCGAGUAGAGCGGCGAAAGGGCGAGGAAUACGUUCCUACGUACCCUCCGGUCAGGGAUAGCCCGGGGAAACCCGGAGUAAUACCUGAUGUGGUCUACGGAUCAAAGGCUUCGGUCGCCGGAGGAGCGGGGAACGUCCUAUCAGGUUGUUGGUGAGGUAAAGGCUCACCAAGCCUUAGACGGGUAGCGGGUGUGAGAGCAUGACCCGCCGCAUCGGGACUGAGACACUGCCCGGACUCCUACGGGAGGCUGCAGUAACGAAUAUUCCGCAAUGCGCGAAAGCGUGACGGAGCAAUGCCGCGUGCAGGAUGAAGCCCUUCGGGGUGUAAACUGCUGUCAGGGUACAGGAAGAAAGUGACCAUACCCAAAGGAAGGGCCGGCUAACUUCGUG